rnacentral:lncRNA from 1 species
AUGAAGAGCAGAAAAGAUGGAGGCAAGAGACAAUGACAACACAGCAGCUGGAGGAGGAGGAGGAGAGUCUGAAACUGAAUCUGUGACACCAAAUGACAAAGAUAAGAUGGAGGAGAGUGCAGCCAAGUUUGAUCCAGUGAAUGAACCAGGUGAAGCUCAACACUCAGAGAAGAAUGAUGAAAGCACAGGAGGAGAGUCUGAAAUGAAGUCUGUACCAUCCACAACCAGUGAGAAAGGUAACAUUAACCAAGAACUGAUUGUACAGUCACAUUGAUUUUAUAGAUUAUAUUUCAGUGGAGUUUUUAACAGAAUUAGAUUAUUUACUUUUAUUUUGUCAGUGCAUUGACAGAGUGCUGUCUGUCUACCUUUUACAGUGUUGUUUCAGUGAU